GACAUGGAUUUGAAGUUUGUUUCUGUUUUACAGGAGUUGGGUUCAUCUCUAGCUAUGCUAGAGGGUUAGAGAAAUUAGAUGGAAUGAGAGAGGGGCGACCUCUUCCCUGCACACUUCUGCAUCAUGAAUGAUCGUCACAAUUGACAGGAAUUGUAGAGACUGCAUUUACCUCCAGGAAAGAAGAAAUUACCUCAGUGCAUGUUCCUGCUGCUCUAACCAGCAGGACUGGGGAAAAGCUACUUUCUGCAUGACUGAAAAACAUUUAGGACACAGAACUUGGGCUCCAACUCCUUUGUAUUUCCCCGGCUACUUUAAUACAGUGAGCUUUGGACUCCAGGGAGAAAGUCUAAAAAUACUGGAUCCUAUUUGUUCAAAAAGGGGAAGGAUGAAAGUCAAAGCAAGAGUGCUCAUGGACACCUUUUGAGGGCCCUGUGGAGUGGAGAUGCCCCAUUUGACCUUUCAUUCCUCAACAGAAAGAUUCCACAGAGAUAAUGUAGGGAGCUUACAUGAGCGAGAGCUGAGUUCCUGAACUUAGUUAUGUAUGAUUCAGAAACAGUUCUAUGGUAAGUAGAGCAUCUUGUUUGCAGUAUUUUUUAAUAUAAUUUUAAAGAUCUCUGGGUAGCUGCAUUUAUUUUUUAAUAUGUAUAUACACGUGUCCAAACAU
rnacentral:lncRNA from 1 species